AAGAGUCAUAUGCUAAUCCUACUGAGUCAUCCUUGUGCCUCUAAAGUCACACUUUUUAACUGGCCAAGGAAUCAUGGGGUUUUAAACCUUCUGACCUAUGCUUGAAAAUAUUAUUUGUUCCGGUAAUUUUUAGCAAACCUGGAGAGUGGACAGCCAAGCACACGUUGCUAUUGCCAUUCUUUCCCCUCUGUGGAUGUGGGAUUGAGGAAGAUAAAUUCCUGGAAUUGCUUCAGUUCACAAAGCAGGAAAUGAUCCACACACCAUUCUUUCCUCUUCAAAAACGG
rnacentral:lncRNA from 12 species